rnacentral:rRNA from 1 species
AGCAGUCGCCGCGGUAAUACGUAGGUGGCAAGCGUUGUCCGGAAUUAUUGGGCGUAAAGGGCUCGCAGGCGGUUUCUUAAGUCUGAUGUGAAAGCCCCUGGCUCAACCGGGGAGGGUCAUUGGAAACUGGGAAACUUGAGUGCAGAAGAGGAGAGUGGAAUUCCACGUGUAGCGGUGAAAUGCGUAGAGAUGUGGAGGAACACCAGUGGCGAAGGCGACUCUCUGGUCUGUAACUGACGCUGAGGAGCGAAAGCGUGGGGAGCGAACAGGAUUAGAUACCCCAGUAGUCCCUGUCUCUUAUAC